GUCAUGGCUCAGGAUGAACGCUAGCGGCAGGCUUAACACAUGCAAGUCGAGGGGCAGCGGGGUGUAGCAAUACACUGCCGGCGACCGGCGCACGGGUGCGUAACGCGUAUGCAACCUACCCAUAACAGGGGCAUAACACUGAGAAAUUGGUACUAAUUCCCCAUAACAUUCGAAGAGGCAUCUCUUUGGGUUGAAAACUCCGGUGGUUAUGGAUGGGCAUGCGUUGUAUUAGCUAGUUGGUG
rnacentral:rRNA from 1 species